AAGACCAAAAAACGUAAUGCCUCGUAUGUGUAUAUAACUGAAGCUAGCGACGGUUGGCACUCGUGCACUUCAAAUAAAUAGUAUAAGGGCAAGCGGUUGAACAUGAUAACUUUAUAAUAAUGUCAAUUUUUUUAGUCAUACAAUAUUUGCUUUGGCAACACACAGCCAUUUGACGAAUUUCAAAACAAAAUUCUAAAACUGAACAACAUGGAUAGCAAUCACAUGGACUUAAUAAGAACUUUAACAGAAAUAUUCGUUAAUAAUAGCGACGAAAGCUUGGAUACGUGGAAAAUUAUCUUAAUGCCUUUCAUUGAUUCCAAUCAAAAACAGAUAAAUAAAAAUAAGCUGUACAAUGUCUUAAAUAAAGACAAUGUAUUUCGAAAUCCAAUAUUAAAAAGGGAUAGAUAUAUAUUUAAUAAUAAAGGAAAGAAUAUUUUGAAACAAAAAUUACAUGCAGAUUCAUUUUCUGAUGAAAAUGAUAGCAGUUAUGGAGAAUAUUAUGAAAUUCUUAAACGUUCUAGAGGAAAAGGAAAACAAUCACCAGACAGGCAAAAUAAUGGAGCGAAAAUUGCUUAUAAAAAUAGAAAUGGGGUUUUAAAACUCAUGAAUUGUGAAGAAGGAAGAGAAAUUUGUAUCAAGGCUUGCAAAGAAGCGUUGAGCGAAACAUGCUCAAAGGUAUCUUGUACAAACAUUUAUGAUGGAAAACAUGAAAAAUAUUGUAGACGGGAAUGUAUGACACGAUUUUCUUAAUACAAGACAUCAAAUUGUACUAUUAAAUAUUAAAAUAAAUAAUAAAAAUAUUUUAAUUUA